rnacentral:rRNA from 1 species
AUUGAACGCUGGCGGCAGGCCUAACACAUGCAAGUCGAACGCGCGGCGGACGGGUGAGAAAUGUGUGGGGACAGCGCGAUAGAGGGGGAGACAUCCUGGAAAAGGUAGCUAAAACACCGUACUCUAGGAUUACCCAUAUGGGAUUAGCUCGUAGGUGGGGUAAUGGCGCACAUAGGCGACGAUCCCUAGCUGGUCUGAGAGGAUGAUCAGCCACACUGGGACUGAGACACGGCCCAGACUCCUACGGAGGCAGCAGUGGGGAAUAUUGCACAAUGGGCGCAAGCCUGAUGCAGCCAUGCCGCGUGUAUGAAGAAGGCCCUAGGGUUGUAAAGUACUUUCAGUCGGGAGGCGUUACCGGCAGAAGAAGCACCGGCUAACUCCGUGCCAGCAGCCGCGGUAAUAC